AGGCCUAACACAUGCAAGUCGAGCGGUAGCACAGGGAGCUUGCUCCUGGGUGACGAGCGGCGGACGGGUGAGUAAUGUCUGGGAAACUGCCUGAUGGAGGGGGAUAACUACUGGAAACGGUAGCUAAUACCGCAUAACGUCGCAAGACCAAAGAGGGGGACCUUCGGGCCUCUUGCCAUCAGAUGUGCCCAGAUGGGAUUAGCUAGUAGGUGGGGUAAUGGCUCACCUAGGCGACGAUCCCUAGCUGGUCUGAGAGGAUGACCAGCCACACUGGAACUGAGACACGGUCCAGACUCCUACGGGAGGCAGCAGUGGGGAAUAUUGCACAAUGGGCGCAAGCCUGAUGCAGCCAUGCCGCGUGUAUGAAGAAGGCCUUCGGGUUGUAAAGUACUUUCAGCGAGGAGGAAGGCAUUGUGGUUAAUAACCACAGUGAUUGACGUUACUCGCAGAAGAAGCACCGGCUAACUCCGUGCCAGCAGCCGCGGUACUACAACAUGGCUGCAUCAA
rnacentral:rRNA from 1 species